rnacentral:lncRNA from 1 species
GGGUCUUACAUGAAAUCAGAUACAAUGCCGAUGUCCCAGACAUGGUCUUACACGUAAAACAAAAGUCGAUGCCAAUGUCCCAAAUAUGGUCUUACGUGAAAUCACAUAACAAAAUCCUAGUAGAACAAAAUUCGAUGCCAACGUCCCAGACGUGGUCUUACGUGAAAUCACAUAACGAAAUCCUAUGUCAUGACAUAUGUAUCCUACUAUUCCUAGGGUUCAUACGGGGCUUUUCAG